AAAAUACGCAGAGCGUAUUCCAAAUCAGUUUAUAAACGCGGGAAAUGAAGCUGGAAAGCAGGGCAAUUUCGACAAUACUGAAGUUAUCAGGAACGACAUACCCCCCAAGUGUUGCUCCUGUGCUGGCAGGCACUGCCCUGCCUCUGUAUCACUCCUAAUGGUCUUAACCCGAAUUCCUCCCCCAGAAUUCGG
rnacentral:sRNA from 1 species